AAUGAACGCUGGCGGCGUGCUUAACACAUGCAAGUCGGACGAGAAAGGCUGAUUUCGGUUGGCCGAGUAAAGUGGCGCACGGGUGAGUAACGCGUAGGUAACCUACCCUUGUAUUGGGGAUAACCCCGCGAAAGCGGUGCUAAUACCGGAUACGAUCCUUAUGCGGGAGUAUGGGGAUGAAAGUCGGCCGCUCGAAGAAGCUGACGUACGAGGAUGGGCCUGCGUCCUAUCAGCUAGUUGGUGGGGUAGCGGCCUACCAAGGCGACGACGGGUUGCAGGUCUCAGAGGAUGAUCAGCCACACUGGCACUGGAACACGAGCCAGACUCCUACGGGAGGCAGCGGUGAGGAAUUUUGCGCAAUGGCCGCAAGGCUGAUGCAGCAACGCCGCGUGGGUGAAGAAGGCCUUCGGGUCGUAAAGCCCUGUCAGGUGGGAAGAAAGGGUCCAAUGAGAAACGGUUGGAUUUUGACGGUACCACCAGAGGAAGCACCGGCUAACUCCGUGCCAGCCGCCGCAGAAGAC
rnacentral:rRNA from 1 species